rnacentral:rRNA from 1 species
GACGAACGCUGGCGGCGUGCUUAACACAUGCAAGUCGAACGGUGAAGCGCCUUCCUUUUUGGUGGGUGUGGAUGAGUGGCGAACGGGUGAGUAACACGUGAGUAACCUGCCCCCUUCUUCUGGAUAACCGCAUGAAAGUGUGGCUAAUACGGGAUAUUCUGGGUCUGUCGCAUGAUGGGUCUGGGAAAGAUAUUGUUUCGGUGGGGGAUGGGCUCGCGGCCUAUCAGCUUGUUGGUGGGGUGAUGGCCUACCAAGGCGGUGACGGGUAGCCGGCCUGAGAGGGUGGACGGUCACACUGGGACUGAGACACGGCCCAGACUCCUACGGGAGGCAGCAGUGGGGAAGAUUGCACAAUGGGCGCAAGCCUGAUGCAGCGACGCCGCGUGAGGGAUGGAGGCCUUCGGGUUGUGAACCUCUUUCGCCAGUGAAGCAGGCCUGCCUCGUUUGUGGGUGGGUUGACGGUAGCUGGAUAAGAAGCGCCGGCUAACUACGUG